rnacentral:rRNA from 1 species
AAUUUUGGACAAUGGGGGAAACCCUGAUCUAGCCAUCCCGCGUUUAUGAUGAAGGACUUCGGGUUGUAAAGUACGUUUUGCAGAGAAGAAAAGGUAUCACCUAAUACGGGAUACUGCUGACGGUCUCUGCAGAAUAAGUAUCGGCUAACUACGUGUCAGCAGCCGCGGUAAUACGUAGGGUCCAAUCGUUAAUCGGAAUUACUGUGCGUAAAGCGUGUGUAGGCAGUUCGGAAAGAAAGAUGUGAGAUCCCAGGGCUGAACCUUGGAACUGCAUUUUUAACUGCCGAGCUAGAGUAUAUCAGAGGGGAGUAGAAUUCCACGUGUAGCAGUGAAAUGCGUAGAUAUGUGGAGGAAUACCGAUGGCGAAGGCAGCCCCCUGGGAUAAUACUGACGCUCAGACACGAAAGCGUGGGGAGCAAACAGG